rnacentral:pre_miRNA from 15 species
UAUAUUAAUGGAGAGCUUCCUUGAGUCCAUUCACAGGUCGUGAUAUGAUCCAAUUAGCUUCCGACUCAUUCAUACAAAUACCGAGUCACAGAAAUCUUAACUGGACUCGGUAAAUGAAUGAAUGAUGCUGUAGACAAAUUGGAUCAUUGAUUCUCUCUGAUUGGACUGAAGGGAGCUCCCUCUCUUUAGGUA